CCCGGGGUGGGCGGGUUGGCCGUCCACGGGGUGGCCGUGGACGGCACCCCGACGGGCUGCCGGUUCCACACCCGCCGCCCGGCC
rnacentral:tRNA from 1 species